UACGAACGCUGGCGGCAGGCCUAAAACAUGCAAGUCGAACGAACCUUCGGGUUAGUGGCGCACGGGUGCGUAACGCGUGGGAAUAUACCUCUGGGUGCGGAACAACGUCUGGAAACAGACGCUAAUACCGCAUAAUAUCUACGGAUCAAAGAUUUAUCGCCCAGAGAUUAGCCCGCGUCUGAUUAGCUAGUUGGUGAGGUAAUGGCUCACCAAGGCGACGAUCAGUAGCUGGUCUGAGAGGAUGAUCAGCCACACUGGAACUGAGACACGGUCCAGACUCCUACGGGAGGCAGCAGUUGGGAAUAUUGGACAAUGGGGGAAACCCUGAUCCAGCCAUGCCGCGUGAGUGAAGAAGGCCUUAGGGUUGUAAAGCUCUUUCGGCUGUGAAGAUAAUGACAGUAGCAGAAGAAGAAGCUCCGGCUAAAUUCGUGCCAGCAGCCGCCGUAA
rnacentral:rRNA from 1 species